AUGCGGCGCCGGCGGGCGCUGCUGACGUCGGAGGAGCGCCGCGACCCCGCCUACGCAACCGACUCGCUCAACUGGGCGAGGUGGUUCGCCUUCGAGCACGAGGAGGCGAGGCGAUGCGGCGUGCGCGAGGUCGACCGCAGUGUGCCGCUGCCGCCGCUCAUCGUCCGCGAUGAGGACCAGGCGGCUGAGGACGCCUACCAGGCGGCGCUUGCGGCAGUCUACCGGGAGAGCGAGGAGGACAAGCGGUGCAGGGUGGAGGCAGUGGAGGAAGAGGAGGCUCGGUACGAGGCGGCCAUGGCGUAG
rnacentral:rRNA from 1 species